rnacentral:rRNA from 1 species
CCUACGGGAGGCAGCAGUGAGGAAUAUUGGUCAAUGGGCGAGAGCCUGAACCAGCGAAGUAGCGUGAAGGAUGACUGCCCUACGGGUUGUAAACUUCUUUUAUAAAGGAAUAAAGUGAGGCACGUGUGCCGUUUUGUAUGUACCCUAUGAAUAAGCAUCGGCUAACUCCGUGCCAGCAGCCGCGGUACUACGGGGGAUGCGAUCGUUAUCCGGAUUGAUUGGGUUUAAAGGGUGCGUAGGUUGUUUUUUAAGUCAGCGGUGAAAGUUUGUGGCUCAACCAUAAAAUUGCCUUUGAAACUGGAAGACUUGAGUGUGUAUGAGGUAGGCGGAAUGCGUGGUGUAGCGGUGAAAUGCAUAGAUAUCACGCAGAACUCCGAUUGCGAGGGCAGCUUACUAAGCCAUAACUGACACUGAAGCACGAAAGCGUGGGGAUCAAACAGGAUUAGAUACCCUGUAGUC